GACGAACGCUGGCGGCGUGCUUAACACAUGCAAGUCGAACGGAAAGGCCCUGCUUUUGUGGGGUGCUCGAGUGGCGAACGGGUGAGUAACACGUGAGUAACCUGCCCUUGACUUUGGGAUAACUUCAGGAAACUGGGGCUAAUACCGGAUAGGAGCUCCUGCUGCAUGGUGGGGGUUGGAAAGUUUCGGCGGUUGGGGAUGGACUCGCGGCUUAUCAGCUUGUUGGUGGGGUAGUGGCUUACCAAGGCUUUGACGGGUAGCCGGCCUGAGAGGGUGACCGGCCACAUUGGGACGGCGAUACGGCCCAGACUCCUACGGGAGGCAGCAGUGGGGAAUAUUGCACAAUGGGCGGAAGCCUGAUGCAGCAACGCCGCGUGCGGGAUGACGGCCUUCGGGUUGUAAACCGCUUUCGCCUGUGACGAAGCGUGAGUGACGGUAAUGGGUAAAGAAGCACCGGCUAACUACGUG
rnacentral:rRNA from 1 species